UACGUAGGGUGCGAGCGUUAAUCGGAAUUACUGGGCGUAAAGCGUGCGUAGGCGGUUCGCUGUGUCCGAUGUGAAAGCCCCGGGCUUAACCUGGGAAUGGCAUUGGAAACUGGCGGGCUUGAGUGCGGCAGAGGGGGUGGAAGUUCCGCGUGUAGCAGUGAAAUGCGUAGAGAUGCGGAGGAACACCGAUGGCGAAGGCAGCCCCCUGGGUCGACACUGACGCUCAGGCACGAAAGCGUGGGGAGCAAACAGG
rnacentral:rRNA from 1 species